GGGGAAUUUUGGACAAUGGGGGCAACCCUGAUCCAGCCAUGCCGCGUGCGGGAAGAAGGCCUUCGGGUUGUAAACCGCUUUUAGUCGGGAAGAAAAGGUUAUCCCUAAUAAGGAUGACUCUUGACGGUACCGGCGGAAUAAGCACCGGCUAACUACGUGCCAGCAGCCGCGGUAAUACGUAGGGUGCGAGCGUUAAUCGGAAUUACUGGGCGUAAAGCGUGCGCAGGCGGUUCGUUAAGUUUGUCGUGAAAGCCCCGGGCUCAACCUGGGAACUGCGAUGGAAACUGGCGGGCUUGAGUAUGGCAGAGGGGGGUGGAAUGCCGCGUGUAGCAGUGAAAUGCGUAGAGAUGCGGAGGAACACCGAUGGCGAAGGCAGCCCCCUGGGCCAAUACUGACGCUCAGGCACGAAAGCGUGGGGAGCAAAC
rnacentral:rRNA from 1 species